rnacentral:rRNA from 1 species
UACGUAGGGUGCGAGCGUUGUCCGGAAUUAUUGGGCGUAAAGGGCUCGUAGGCGGUUUGUCGCGUCGGGAGUGAAAACUCAGGGCUUAACCCUGAGCCUGCUUCCGAUACGGGCAGACUAGAGGUAUGCAGGGGAGAACGGAAUUCCUGGUGUAGCGGUGAAAUGCGCAGAUAUCAGGAGGAACACCGGUGGCGAAGGCGGGUCUCUGGGCCGUAACUGACGCUGAGGAGCGAAAGCAUGGGGGAGCGAACAGG